GGCCCCUCACGGCCCCAGAGCCCCGGAACCGCACGGCUCUCCACUCCCCCCGCUGCCACCGCGCUGCAUCACGCUGUUACCAAAUCCUCCGAGAUCAUCCGGGAUGAAUGAAGCCCUCUCACUGCCGUCUUUUGAGGGCCGUCUCUCCUUUACCUUCUGCUUUCUACAAAAUGUCCUUGUGGUCCAUAAAUUCUGCGUUCCAGAUGUCCAACCACACCAAUCCGUCUUCUUCUCCCAGGCUUUGUUCAUUGGAGCACAGCAGAGUUAGUUUAUCAAAAGUUAAAAUUUCAGUCAUUCUCCCCAGCUGCUUUCCCACAAAAGUAGCUUAUGACAACUUUGCUAAAGGCUGGCUAAGAUUAAUCUAAGAGUAGCACAUGAUAAUUAAUAUGUAUAUUAGUUAUGAUAAAUUAAAACAAUUAAUUUGAAAGUUAAUUAAAACCAUUAACUAAAAUCAUAGAGCUCUAUCAUUUCUGACACUGCAGUGGGGCAUUGCUUGAGGCACCCUCUCCUCCCUGGCUCCUGACCCCUUCAAAGCCCCCAGGACCGGUGCUGAGCUUUCCUCAUCUCUGCCUCUGUCCCAAAAUGUGGAAUGCACCAAAAGUCCCUUAGAUAGGAUGUUCUGUGAUGCUUGAUCUUUGUAUACUUUCAAGCCUAAUCAGCUAGAAAGGAGAUAUAGCCCCAGAAACAGAGAGCAGCCAACAAGCUGUAGGUGAUAUCCAGGUGUUAGAAAAACAAAUUAUGUGCUAAGAUGUAGGGCUGGACGCGUUUCCAUGAUGUCAGACCUAGGGGAGGUGAGCAGAGCUUGGGAAGAACGAUGUGCCUCUGAUAGUGAACACGAGGAAUGCAGGAUUUACAGGCCACAAGGACAUUUGGCAGAACCCCCAAGAUAAGGAAGAAACUAAUAAAAGUAACUGUGCAGAACAAGCUCCCACUGGGGAAAAAGGGAAUUCCAGGAAGGCAGAUCGUGACCUCCAGCCCCAAAACCCCACCGACCCAAAAGAAGAGGAACACCGAGCAUGGGAACGAGCAGCAGAAGCAAGAGAAUCAUUAACCAACAGAGGACAGAACACUAAUUAAUAAGAGAACUGUGUAACUUGUAGCCAGUGAACACCAAUGCCUUUGUUUGCAUCACACGCAGCCUCCCCUCAGCAGGACACGGCUCAGCCUGAAGAGAGCACCCGGGUGCUGCAAGCACUUGGAUUUUGUUAAGCCUCAGCUCCAGCCUGGAGAAGCACAUUUCAUAAUGCAUAAUAAAUAAACAUGAGCUGUGUCUGAACUGACAGUUUUUCAACACAAAAAAAACUGGGAGCACCUCCCCAACACCUUUGAAAGUGUGGGGAAAUCCAAACCAACCCAAUGUGUAUCUAAUAAAGAAUAUUUAUUUUCUAA